rnacentral:pre_miRNA from 1 species
UUCGACGUCGUGUUAAGUGUGAUUCCUUAGCAGCCAUAGUUUGGUAUGAAGCUCUCUCUGAACAUCAGAUAUCGGUCGGUAGAGUUGAGGUUUGUUCACAUGACCUUAGCUCUGUUUUCCGAGCGCUUCGUGCCAAGCUGUGUGCAUCUAAGGGAAUCUCACUUCUGAACAGAAAG